AUCAACGCUUGGCGGCGUGCCUAACACAUGCAAGUCGAACGCGGAAAAGCCCCCGCAAGGGGUAAGUAGAGUGGCAAACGGGUGAGUAACACGUGGGUGACCUUGCCUUCGAGUGGGGGGAUAACGUCCCGAAAGGGACGCUAAUACCGCAUAACAUGCCGCCUUUGAAGAGGUGGACAUCAAAGCCGGGGGAUCGCAAGACCUGGCGCUGGAAGAGGGGCCCGCCGUCCCGAUUAGCUAGUUGGUGAGGUAACGGCUCACCAAGGCGACGAUCGGUAGCCGGCCUGAGAGGGCGGACGGCCACACUGGGACUGAGACACGGCCCAGACUCCUACGGGAGGCAGCAGUGGGGAAUUGUUCGCAAUGGGCGCAAGCCUGACGACGCAACGCCGCGUGGAGGAUGAAGAUCUUCGGGUCGUAAACUCCUUUCGAUCGAGAACGAACGGCCUCCGGGUGAACAAUCCGGGAGGAGUGACGGUACCGAGAGAAAGAAGCCCCGGCUAACUCCGUGCCAGCAGCCGCGGGUAAUACGGGGGGGCAAGCGUUUGUUCGGAAUUACUGGGCGUAAAGGGCUCGUAGGCCGGCCAACUAAGUCGGACAGUGAAAUCCCUCGGCUUAACCGGGGAACUGCGUCCGAUACUGGAUUGGCUUGAGUUUGGGAGAGGGAAUGCGGAAUUCCAGGUUGUAGCGGUGAAAUGCGUAGAUAUCUAGGAGGAACACCGGUGGUGUAAAGGCGGCAUUUCCUGGACCAAUAACUGACGCUGAGGCAGCGAAAAGCCAGUGGGUAGCAAACAGGGAUUAGAUACCCCUGGUAGUCCCGGCCCCUAAACGAUGCAUGAUUGGUGUGGGGUAUCGAUUCCAGUUGAUCCGUGCCGGAAGCUAACGCAUUUAAUUAAGCAUUCCGCCUGGGGAGUACAGUCGCAAGGCUGAAACUCAAAGGAAUUGACGGGGGCCCGCACAAGCGGUGGAGCAUGUGGUUUCAAUUCGACGCAACGCGAAGAACCUUACCCUGGGCUCGAAAUGCGAUGGAUCAGCUUAUGGAAAGGGAGGCCUUCCCGCAAGGGACACUUAGUAGAGGUGCUGCAUGGCUGUUCGUCAGCUCGUGUCGUGAGAUGUUUGGGUUAAGUCCCGCAACGAGCGCAAACCCCUUGUCUCUGUUUGCCAUCAGGCUUAAAGUGGGAACUCUGCAGGAGACCUGCCAGGUGAUAAACCUGGAGGAAGGUGGGGAUGACGUCAAGUCCGCAUGGCCUUUAUGUCUCAGGGGCUACAACACGUGCUACAAUGGACGAUACAAAAGGUCUGCCGAUACCCGCGAAGGUGGAGCCAAUCCGGAAGAAAAAGUCGUUUCUCAGUUCGGAUUAGCAGGCUGCAACUCGUCCUGCAUGAAGCUUGGAAUCGCUAGUAAUCGCAGGAUCAGAACGCCUGCCGGUGAAUACGUUCCCGGGCCUUGUACACACCGGCCCGUCACAUCACGAAAGUGGGUUGUACUAGAAGUCCGCCACCUAUCAACCCGCAAGGAGAGGCAGCGGCGCCUAAGGUAUGAGCUCGAGUGAUUGGGGUG
rnacentral:rRNA from 1 species